rnacentral:rRNA from 1 species
CUACGGGUGGCUCCAGUUGGGAAUAUUGCACAAUGGGCGAAAGCCUGAUGCAGCGACGCCGCGUGGUCGAAGAAGCCCUUCGGGGUGUAAAGACCUUUUCAUUGGGAGGAUUAUGACAGUACCAGUGGAAUAAGUGCCGGCUAACUACGUGCCAGAAGCCUCGGUUAUGCGUAGGGCACAAGCAUUAUCCGGAAUCAUUGGGCGUAAAGGGUGUCUCGGCGGUUUGAUACAUUUUUUCUUAAAUUUUUCGGCUUAACCAAAAAAUUGGAAAAAAUAUGGUCAAACUAGAGGCCACUAGAGGUAUAUGGAAUUGCUGGUGUAGGAGUGAAAUCCGUUGAUAUCGGCAAGAACACCAACGGCGCAGGCAAUAUACUAUAGUGGUUCUGACGCUCAAGCACGAAAGCGUGGGUAGCGAAAGGGAUUAGAUACCCCCGUAGUC